UCUCCUCCCUCCCCUCACUUAAUGCAUUUAUCCUUUGUUUCCCUAUGGGACAUUGGCUCUCCCCCCAGGCUGCUGAGGAGCUCAGCCGUGAGGCUUUGGACAGAGCACUGCAGGACAACCAGAAUGUGCUGCUGGAGGAGACAAAAAGUGACCCUGCCUGCUGCCCUGCGCCUGGUGGGGAAAAAGCCCAAGGAGAGAGCCCACGGAUGGAGUCCCAGGGUGCAGCAGUGCUGGACAGACAGGCAUCAUCCCGUUACUUUGCUGCCCUGGAUUCCAGCGUGGGGGAUCUGAGACAGCGGGCACAGGGCCUGAUAGACAGACUGAACGACAGCCGCAAGGAGGACCACACCGUGAUGAGCAGCUUCCGC
rnacentral:lncRNA from 1 species